rnacentral:rRNA from 1 species
GACGAACGCUGGCGGCGUGCUUAACACAUGCAAGUCGAACGGAAAGGCCCCCACCUUGGUGGGGGUGCUCGAGUGGCGAACGGGUGAGUAACACGUGGGUGAUCUGCCCUGUACUUCGGGAUAAGCUUGGGAAACUGGGUCUAAUACCGGAUAGGACCAUGGUUUAGUGUCUCAUGGUGGAAAAAUUAUUGUUUUGGUGCAGGAUGAGCUCGCGGCCUAUCAGCUUGUUGGUGGGGUAAUGGCCUACCAGGGCGUCGACGGGUAGCCGGCCUGAGAGGGUGGACGGCCACAUUGGGACUGAGAUCCGGCCCAGACUCCUACGGGAGGCAGCAGUGGGGAAUAUCGCACAAUGGGCGCAAGCCUGAUGCAGCGACGCUGCGUGGGGGAUGACGGCCUUCGGGUUGUAAACUCCUUUCGUUAGGGACGAAGCCACACCUUUUUUGGGUGUGGUGACGGUACCUUUGUUAAGAAGCACCGGCUAACUACGUG